rnacentral:snoRNA from 1 species
GCAUGGGUUUGGAUUUAUGGCAGGCCCAUCCCCCUGGGUCUCUCAUAGUGUCCCAUGCUAGAGCAACUGUGGCCCUGAACCAUUGCCUGUAGGCUGCUGGCAAUGAAGUGGGUUGCACAGUG